UGAUCCCCUUCGGGGGUGACGCUUGUGGAAUGAGCGGCGGACGGGUGAGUAACACGUGGGCAACCUGCCUGUAAGACUGGGAUAACCCCGGGAAACCGGGGCUAAUACCGGAUAAUACUUUCUUUUGCAUAAAGGAAAGUUGAAAGGCGGCUUCGGCUGUCACUUACAGAUGGGCCCGCGGCGCAUUAGCUAGUUGGUGAGGUAACGGCUCACCAAGGCGACGAUGCGUAGCCGACCUGAGAGGGUGAUCGGCCACACUGGGACUGAGACACGGCCCAGACUCCUACGGGAGGCAGCAGUAGGGAAUCUUCCGCAAUGGACGAAAGUCUGACGGAGCAACGCCGCGUGAGUGAUGAAGGUUUUCGGAUCGUAAAACUCUGUUGUUAGGGAAGAACAAGUUGGGUAGUAACUGACCCAACCUUGACGGUACCUAACCAGAAAGCCACGGCUAACUACGUGCCAGCAGCCGCGGUAAUACGUAGGUGGCAAGCGUUGUCCGGAAUUAUUGGGCGUAAAGCGCUCGCAGGCGGUCCUUUAAGUCUGAUGUGAAAUCUCGCGGCUCAACCGCGAACGGUCAUUGGAAACUGGAGGACUUGAGUACAGAAGAGGAGAGUGGAAUUCCACGUGUAGCGGUGAAAUGCGUAGAGAUGUGGAGGAACACCAGUGGCGAAGGCGACUCUCUGGUCUGUAACUGACGCUGAGGAGCGAAAGCGUGGGGAGCGAACAGGAUUAGAUACCCUGGUAGUCCACGCCGUAAACGAUGAGUGCUAGUGUUAGGGGUUUCCGCCCCUUAGUGCUGAAGUUAACGCAUUAAGCACUCCGCCUGGGGAGUACGGCCGCAAGGCUGAAACUCAAAGAAUUGACGGGGCCCGCACAAGCGGUGGAGCAUGUGGUUUAUUCGAGCACGCGAGACUUACAGUCUGACAUC
rnacentral:rRNA from 1 species